AAUGAACGUUGGCGGCAUGGAUUAGGCAUGCAAGUCGAGCGAUCCUCUUUUUUCAGCUUGCUUUAGAACUUUUACUUUUGCUAAAGGGAGAGUAACGCGUAGUUAUGUGCCCUAGGGUCUUUAAUAGCCACGGGAAACUGUGGGUAAGUUCGGAUAAUAUCCCCGGAUCAAAGGUGUGAUUCCGCCCUAGGAGCAGACUGCGUCCUACUAGCUAGUUGGUGGGGUAAUGGCCCACCAAGGCAAUGAUGGGUAGCGGGUGUGAGAGCAUGACCCGUCUCACUGGGACUGAGACACUGCCCAGACACCUACGGGUGGCUGCAGUCGAGAAUCUUCGGCAAUGGGCGAAAGCCUGACCGAGCGAUGCCGCGUGCGGGAUGAAGGCCCUCGGGUUGUAAACCGCUGUCGUAGGGGAGGAAGGUUCCGUGAAGAGCGGGACUUGACCUAUCCUAGGAGGAAGUACGGGCUAAGUUCGUGCCAGCAGCCGCAGUAAGAC
rnacentral:rRNA from 1 species